UCAUUACCGAGUGAGGGCCCUCUGGGUCCACCUCCCACCCGUGUUUAUUUUACCUUGUUGCUUCGGCGGGCCCGCCUUAACUGGCCGCCGGGGGGCUUACGCCCCCGGGCCCGCGCCCGCCGAAGACACCCUCGAACUCUGUCUGAAGAUUGUAGUCUGAGUGAAAAUAUAAAUUAUUUAAAACUUUCAACAACGGAUCUCUUGGUUCCGGCAUCGAUGAAGAACGCAGCGAAAUGCGAUACGUAAUGUGAAUUGCAAAUUCAGUGAAUCAUCGAGUCUUUGAACGCACAUUGCGCCCCCUGGUAUUCCGGGGGGCAUGCCUGUCCGAGCGUCAUUGCUACCCUCAAACACAGCUUGUGUGUUGGGCCCC
rnacentral:rRNA from 1 species